rnacentral:rRNA from 1 species
AGUGAACGCUGGCGGUAGGCCUAACACAUGCAAGUCGAACGGCAGCACAGUAAGAGCUUGCUCUUACGGGUGGCGAGUGGCGGACGGGUGAGGAAUACAUCGGAAUCUACUUUUUCGUGGGGGAUAACGUAGAGAAACUUACGCUAAUACCGCAUACGACCUACGGGUGAAAGCAGGGGAUCUUCGGACCUUGCGCGAUUGAAUGAGCCGAUGUCGGAUUAGCUAGUUGGCGGGGUAAAGGCCCACCAAGGCGACGAUCCGUAGCUGGUCUGAGAGGAUGAUCAGCCACACUGGAACUGAGACACGGUCCAGACUCCUACGGGAGGCAGCAGUGGGGAAUAUUGGACAAUGGGCACAAGCCUGAUCCAGCCAUACCGCGUGGGUGAAGAAGGCCUUCGGGUUGUAAAGCCCUUUUGUUGGGAAAGAAAAGCAGCAGGUUAAUACCCCGCUGUUCUGACGGUACCCAAAGAAUAAGCACCGGCUAACUUCGUG